rnacentral:rRNA from 1 species
CCUACGGGAGGCAGCAGUGAGGAAUAUUGGUCAAUGGACGAGAGUCUGAACCAGCCAAGUAGCGUGAAGGAUGACUGCCCUAUGGGUUGUAAACUUCUUUUAUAUGGGAAUAAAAUGUUCCACGUGUGGGAUUUUGUAUGUACCAUCUGAAUAAGGAUCGGCUAACUCCGUGCCAGCAGCCGCGGUAAUACGGAGGAUCCGAGCGUUAUCCGGAUUUAUUGGGUUUAAAGGGAGCGUAGGUGGAUUGUUAAGUCAGUUGUGAAAGUUUGCGGCUCAACCGUAAAAUUGCAGUUGAAACUGGCAGUCUUGAGUACAGUAGAGGUGGGCGGAAUUCGUGGUGUAGCGGUGAAAUGCUUAGAUAGCACGAAGAACUCCGAUUGCGAAGGCAGUUCACUGGACUGCAACUGACACUGAGGCUCGAAAGUGUGGGUAUCAAACAGGAUUAGAUACCCGGGUAGUC